UACGUAGGGUGCGAGCGUUAAUCGGAAUUACUGGGCGUAAAGCGUGCGCAGGCGGUGAGCUGUGUCCGAUGUGAAAGCCCCGGGCUUAACCUGGGAAUGGCAUUGGAAACUGGCUCGCUGGAGUGUGGCAGAGGGGGGUGGAAUUCCGCGUGUAGCAGUGAAAUGCGUAGAGAUAUGGAGGAACACCAGUGGCGAAGGCGACUUUCUGGUCUGUAACUGACACUGAGGCGCGAAAGCGUGGGGAGCAAACAGG
rnacentral:rRNA from 1 species